rnacentral:rRNA from 1 species
CUACGGGCGGCAGCAGUGGGGAAUAUUGCACAAUGGGCGCAAGCCUGAUGCAGCCAUGCCGCGUGUAUGAAGAAGGCCUUCGGGUUGUAAAGUACUUUCAGCGGGGAGGAAGGGAGUAAAGUUAAUACCUUUGCUCAUUGACGUUACCCGCAGAAGAAGCACCGGCUAACUCCGUGCCAGCAGCCGCGGUAAUACGGAGGGUGCAAGCGUUAAUCGGAAUUACUGGGCGUAAAGCGCACGCAGGCGGUUUGUUAAGUCAGAUGUGGAAUCCCCGGGCUCAACCGGGGAACUGCAUCUGAUACUGGCAAGCUUGAGUCUCGUAGAGGGGGGUAGAAUUCCAGGUGUGGCGGUGAAAUGCGUAGAGAUCUGGAGGAAUACCGGUGGCGAAGGCGGCCCCCUGGACGAAGACUGACGCUCAGGUGCGAAAGCGUGGGGAGCAAACAGGAUUAGAUACCCCGGUAGUC